CCUCAGCCUGGACCCCAUCCUUGGGCACCAGCCACUCCGGGGAAGACCUGCCCAACUUGCCCCCAGGUUCUAGCCACCGGGCAGGCUCCCUUCUAGCUCCACCGGGAACGAUCCCCUUCUCCAAGACCCUCUGCAGACCCUGCAGUCUCCACGCCCUGCCCCCACGCCCAUCCGCCCGAGACCUCAGCCACUUCCUGGGACUUGGAGGCCAGCCCCCAGCUCCCAUCCUGCCCCGGACUUCCCUUCUGGACAGAGGUGAGUGCCCUAGCUCGGCCCGGACCCCAUCCCUGGGCACCAGCCACUCCAGGGAAGACCUGCCCAACUUGGCCCCAGGUUCUGGCCACUGGGCAGGUUCCCUUCUAGCCCCAUCCAGGAAGGAUCCCCUUCUCCAAGACCUCCGGCAGACCCUGCAAUCUCCACGCCCUGCCCAUCCGCCCGAGACCCCAGUCACUUCCUGAGACUUAGAGGCCGGCCCCCAGCUCCCAUCCUGCCCCGGACUUCCCUUCAGGACAGAGAGAGAGACCAGAGAGAGAGAGAGACAAGAACUCCCAUCCUGCCCCGGACUUCCCUUCUGGAUAAGAGUGCCUAUCCUGCCCCGGACUUCCCUUCUGGACAAGAGCUCCCAUCCUGCCCCGGAGUUCCCAUUUGGACAAGAGAGCUCCCAUCUGGACAAGAGAGAGAGGCUUCCUGAAUCUGUCAGCUCUGUCUGAACCAAGUGUGCUGAUAAGACCAAGAACGAACCACAAGGAGAUGGGCAGACGUCAAGGCAGAAAUACAUACAACAAAAUGAAGAGCAAUACAGCAUCACCAGAACCUAGCCCUCCUCCAACAUCUAGACCUGAACAUCAAAAAUUGGAAGAAAACAGCCUUAUGAAUGACAUCAUGAAGAAGGUAGAGGCUUAUGUAGAGGAAAAGACAAAAAAAUGGGAUGAACGCUGUAAACAACUAGAGGAAAGGGCAGACAAAUUAGAAGAAAACAGUAAAGUCCUGGAAGAAAACAAUAAGGUACUGAAAGAAAAUCAAGAAAAAGCAAUGAAACAAAUGAAGGAAACAGUCCAAGACCUGAAAAGGGAAAUAGAAUACUACUGUACCUAGAAAGGUCUCUGUCCAUGAGAACAAAAGUUGCAGAGACGCUUGUUUGAACUAAAAUUGUUAACUGCAAAAAGUUUUGGUUGUAAAACGUUUCUUCAUAUUUGGAAGUGAAAGCCUGAUACCAGAAUUUACUUUUUUUGAACUUUUUGAACUUAAAAUAAUGAGAUAAAACUACAAAAAGACUUUUGUUAUGGAUUUCUUCAUAUUUGGAAAGCUAGUACCAGAAUUUAUCAUUUGAAUUUUGGGACUUAAUGAAAUGAACAAUAGAUUUCAUUGCAAUGGGACAAUUUUGAGUUUACUUAUAGUAAUGACCUGGGAACUGUUUUCUGGAAUUAUUUGUGUUAAAAAUGGAACUGUUUAAAUGAAGAAAUUUAUUGUUUCUACCUUGAUUCAAGAUGCAGUUUUGUGUAUGCAUAUAUGCUGGUUAUUCAUGAAUUGUUCUGUGUUAAAAAAUGCAAUUGUUUUGUGGAACUGUUUAUGUAAAAAUGGAAUUACUUAUGGAACUGGUUUUGUGUUACAAAUGGAACUGUUUAAACAGAAAAGUUUGGGUUUUCUAACUAUGCUUGAGAUUUUGCUUAAAAAAUUAUAAAGAAAAGGAAGAGUUAAUAUUCCUUAGUUUAUUUAAUUUAAAAAAUUGUUUGUGUGGAUUAAUGUCAUGUUAGUAAGAAAUGCAAAUGGGGUAGACUAAGACUACUUUUAAAGUGUAAAGAGUUUUAUUAAGAAACUGCUUUUGGAUGUUUUGCUAAAAGUUUUCAAAGUGUUAAUGGUUAGAUUGAGAAUACUGCAUUUCAAUAUGGGCUUAUAGGAAUUGUGUAAGUUUGGGUUCCUCUGCCCCGCCUGCAGGGCUUCAACGGGUUCUCAACCACCCUAGGGACGGAAUGAUAGAGACAGGAGAUACAAGGAAAUACACUAAGUCUAGAUUCUGAUCAAGGUGCAACUUUAUUUUUCUCCAAGAGGGUUUAUAUAGUGCCUGCAGGGUGGGGGGAGCAAGAAGCUGUCAUCUGCAUAAGGUGGGGCAAGCUAUCAGGAUGUUUGUAUAGGAUGUUUACAGGGUGAAAGGGUCAAGGGCUCUGCCUCAAUGUCCUGUUGCUAGGCAACCUGACUGUAAGAUGUUCUAGUUGCCUGUCCUUAGAGAUUCUGUCCUUGUCCCUGACAUUCCUCUAACUAGGUUGGAGAUUGUUUUAAAAAAUUAUAAAGAAAAGGAGGAGUUAUGAGUGAAUUAAGGUUGAAUGUAUGUUUGCAGAAAUUAUGUUUAACCUGAUAUUAAUGCACCCUUGUUUUGUGAAGUUAAGGAAAUAUUUAAGUUUGAUGUGAAUACAUCAGAAGUUUUUCCUAUGUUCUGUUAGCAAGAAAAUUCAAAUGAUUCUAUUAAGAGUUAAAGUUGUAAGACUGAGAAAAUUGUUAACUAUAUAUAGCACCAUAUAUGUUAAUUCAAAUGGUUCUGUUAAGAGUUUGCUUUGAGUUGUAAGAUUGGGAGAAUUGUGACUAUGUACAGCAAUAUUUAUGUUAACCUGUUAGUGGUAAUGAUGAAGUUAAGGGAUUCUUUAAAUUUGCGAUUGCAUUAAGUUUUUGUUUUAGAAAGGGCUUGAGGCAACUAAGACUGCUGUAGUCACCUUGGACCUAAUUCAAAAAAGAAAUGCCAUCUUUAUCAUCCUCUACUCCCAUACUGGGAGGUAUAACAGCUAUGGAGAUUGCUCCAAGCUAUUAAUGAGUUAUUUUUUAUAUAUUUAGAAAGGGAGACCUGUGGGAGCCUGUUUUCUGGUUCUUCGUGGCUUUACCCAGCAGGUCCGCAUAGAGGAUGAUUAGGGCCAUGGGCCUGAGUGCAGGUGUCUGAAAUGGUCUGCACUUGCCUGUGCUGGGGGGGGAGGUCUUUUGCUCCACCCCUUGGCAUCUCUAUAAAUACCCUGGGGCGGAGACAGGGCCCAUUGGAAUAGGUCCCAGGCCCUCUUGAGGCUAUCCUUUAUUUUCUAUCUGUUUAUCUCUGCAAUAUAAAUCCUAUCUAAUAUUUCUUGCUGCUCACACUCAAGAGAACUCUGGGGAACUGUGGGGUUGGUGGGUAAAUGCCCCCACAAUUGGUACAAGUCUUGUGGGAGAAAACGUUGAGGUUUUUUUUUUUUUUUUUGGAUUUUAGACUUGCCCCACAGACAGAACUCAUUCCUAGUGUAAUUCAUGGGGCAAACUACCAGAGACUAGAUAGGUUAUAGGUUCUAGGGAAGUGCUGUUUUUCUAUUUGGAUAUAGAAUUAAACUGACUUCUAAUAAAUUUCUAUUAUAUAUGUACCCAUAGAUUAGUGCAUCUCCACCUUCAUCAGAAAUACUUCUUUCAGCAAUAGAUAGUGAUUAACACAGACAUUCAUAACUUGGAAAUAGGCAGAGAAUAAGAGUCUGGGAGUGCUGAAUCCUAAAUGGGACCUCCACAUCAUACCCCUUCUCCCAAGCCUAAGUGGUCAUAAGUGAAUUAGGGGUGGGAAGAUUGUAAAGCCCAGAGGUGAUAGAUAACUUCACUGAAGCAAUGUUUUCAAGACUCAGUAUGUUCCCUGCUCAAAUAAACUCACAGUGGCUGCAACAGUAUGCAUAAGACCUGUGUAAAAUCAAAUAUGACAAAAUACAGACAUUGAGGGGGGAUAGGAUCAUGAAGUUCCACCUCAACUAUAGUCAACUGGGUGGCUACUGGGAGAAAUAUAGUCAGUUUUAAGUAUGUGGCCCCAGAGAGGUUACUUAUACUCAUAUAGAUAUCCCUACAUUUAUAUACAUAAUGACACUGCUGACUGAACUCAGUAAGUUUAAAAAAGUAAGGGAAAAAAAAGAUCAAGUUUUGUGAGUAUAGUGGUAGGAUGUUGGGGGAGGAAUUUCAAAAGAAGGAUUCAGGAGUAAAUUUGAUGAAAACAUAUUAUAUAUAUGGAUGAAAUUUCCAAAUAAUAAAUAAAAAACAAAAUUAAAUACCUCCAAUGAGCCAAUGUCAUUACUAUUGAACUAGUCCCUAAGUACAAUGGCAAUAAAGCAUGA